rnacentral:pre_miRNA from 7 species
AUAUAAAUUAUGUUGUUCAGAUAUACAAAGUGUGAUUAUGAAAGAACCUAGUGGGGAAACCCCCACUCAGCUCCCAAUUCAGCGUGCACCCAAGAAUCACGAAUAGAACA